rnacentral:rRNA from 1 species
UUGGAGGGCAAGUCUGGUGCCAGCAGCCGCGGUAAUUCCAGCUCCAAUAGCGUAUAUUAAAGUUGUUGCAGUUAAAAAGCUCGUAGUUGAAUUUCGAGACCGGUUUACUGGUCGUGCUUUUGUACGUACUGGUAUUAUUGGUUUCUCCUUUCUGACGAAUCAUAAUGCCAUUAAUUUGGUGUUUUGGGGAAUCAGGACUGUUACUUUGAAAAAAUUAGAGUGUUUAAAGCAGGCUCACGCUUGAAUACAUUAGCAUGGAAUAACGAAAUAGGACGUUUG